GAAAAUGGCCGACCGCUGGGGCUGCGGGAGGGAGUGAGGGCCGGGGGCGGGGACGGGGGUAGGGGAACACUACCAAGCAACAGGGCUGGUGUCAGCGGAGUCCAGAGAAGUGAGGGUAGGGUGAGAAACAAAAAGAUCUUGGGGCCGGAGGCCAGUCCAACCCUUGGAGCAGGAAGAAACGCAAAGUUGUCAAGAACCAAGGUCCUUGGUGUUGGUCCGUCGACCAAGCACUCACUUCUGAAGUUUGUCAGUCUUGAAGGUUUAGUGGAAGCGGAAACCGAGGUGAGAGAGGUAAGAAAUUGCUCCGGAGCAGAGGUAGUUGGUAUAAUGACACGGGGUGGGGGGGGUGGGGGGGCGGCGGUGUCCUGGUACCUUUGAGAUGGAGGAGUUGGCGGAGGCAAGGGCGGAGUUGGAGACCUUUAGGCAUUUCACGCCAGUACGGCUUUUAGAUAUUCUCACUUCAUUUUGUUACAAGGAAAAUGUUAACGAUGAAAAUGUGUGGCGACAUC
rnacentral:lncRNA from 1 species